UUGGAAACUGGUAUAAAUGAUUUUACAAUUUAAUAUUUUCUUUAAAAAAUUUAAAUAAUUUAAAGUUUAAGUUAAAAUUCUUAAAUAUAUAAAAAAGACGAUAAGACCCUAAAAGCUUUAUUUUUAGUAUAUAGUUUUUUAUAUUAUAUAAAUUUUUUACUGGGGUAGUAUUUUUAAUGAUUAUAAAAUAAAUAACUUUUGGUUUUUGUUCUUUUAUAAAAAAAUUAAUUAGUUACUUUAGGGAUAACAGCGUAAUAUUAUUAAAAAGAACAUAUUUAUAAUAAUGAUUACGACCUCGAUGUUGAAUUAAUAAACCUUAUUAGAGCAGUUUCUAUUUUAGGGGGUUUGUUCAACCUUUAAU
rnacentral:rRNA from 1 species